rnacentral:sRNA from 1 species
GCACUUGUUGAUGGAGGAGAACCUGCGCGUCGCUUUCUACUUCGGGACCUUGAGCUCAUUGCUUUUUCAAGGAAGUUUUCCAGUUUAGAAUACUGGGUAAUAUUAUCAGCAAUAUUAUCAGCAAUGGUGUAUUUGCAUGGAUUUGUGGUUAUGUACAUUUCUAAGGUCAGUUAGAUCAGGCCCUCCCAAUCUGGAAACCCUUUUUAUCUGCUUUGAACAAGCAGGUGCACAAUCAUGGAGAAAGGCUGGAGCAAACUGAAAAGGAUUACAGCACUUCUUCAGCUCAGUGUGAAAUCAUCAAGUGAGAGGUCAAUGAUGAUUCUGGGGUGGUUUCAGGUGGCUGUUUCUUCAAUCCAACUCCUCUAAUGCAUCUUUGGUUAACCAAAUCUUUGACAGGUUAUCCCAAUAUGCUGAUGCUGAUGUGUCGAGCUUCUGCCUUUUCCGAUAUCGUGAUCUGUCGGAUGGAUGGGGCUUAGAAUACUGACGCUUGCGAGACGGGUUGGACGUCACUGAACUAGGCAUAUGGUCAUAAUCAUAAAUAUUUGGCUCUUUUAUCUUGCGAGUAUGCAUCGAGGUCAGAAGGGCCAGAGGUUCUUAUAAUUAACUUUUGCGCAGGAUCCCAGAAUGCAUUUCAGGCGCUUAUCCGGAGAUUAUUGCUGUGUGCCGAAUAGGUUUAGGGACUAGAUUUCACUAUUAAUAGAAUUUGAUCUUCUGUCAACGG